UCAUCUCCCACCUUUUCCUGCAGCUAAGUCAUUUUCCAUAUAAAAGGAAGACCCCUCUGAGCGCUCUCUCUCUCUCUCUCUCUCUCUCUCUCUCUCUCUCUCUCUCUCUCUCUCUCUCUCUCUCUCCCUCUUCUCCCCUUUAUUCGCCCCCACCUUUGCCCUUCUCUCCUACAAUAAACCUCACGUGGAACCUUUUGGCCUGGUGUGGUCUGUCUGGAGCCGCACGUCUAACACAUCAAUGGACAAAUAUGGUGAACCAUGCAUACUUUUGGAGGAAGGACGUGGGAAGAUCCAAGAAGGUCACAGGCUGAAGGCUAAGGCUAUCUAGAUACCUCAUUAGCAUGAAGAAGAACUCCAGGCUGACCCUGGGAUGGACUCCAGUGUAAAAGAGACACCUGCACUAAUAUAAAAAACUAUUUGGAUUAAGACUUACAUUUUGAGAAACGGUCAAGUAAAGUUUAAGUUCCCAAGACCUCCCUGGGAACUGACAUCCUACUUGGUAGAAAGAGUCAUGUAUGUGGAUAACUGACACCCUGCCUAGCAACUUAAGACAUGAAUGUUAGACAAGGCAAGCUACCUGGCACAGGUAAAUACCCCAACCAAUGGGAGAGAGGUA
rnacentral:lncRNA from 1 species